rnacentral:rRNA from 1 species
UACGGAGGGUGCAAGCGUUAUCCGGAUUCACUGGGUUUAAAGGGUGCGUAGGUGGGCAGGUAAGUCAGUGGUGAAAUCUCCGGGCUUAACCCGGAAACUGCCGUUGAUACUAUCUGUCUUGAAUGUAGUGGAGGUGAGCGGAAUAUGUCAUGUAGCGGUGAAAUGCUUAGAUAUGACAUAGAACAUCGAUUGCGAAGGCAGCUAGCUACACUAUGAUUGACACUGAGGCACGAAAGCGUGGGGAUCAAACAGG